GAUGAACGCUAGCGGCAGGCCUAACACAUGCAAGUCGAGGGGUAGCAGGAUUAAGCUUGCUUAAUUGCUGACGACCGGCGCACGGGUGCGUAACGCGUAUGCAACCUACCUUAUACUGGGGUAUAGCCCGGAGAAAUUCGGAUUAAUCCCCCAUAGUACUAAUGAAUCGCAUGGUUUAUUAGUUAAAGCAUUGCGGUAUAAGAUGGGCAUGCGUCCUAUUAGCUAGAUGGUGAGGUAACGGCUCACCAUGGCUACGAUAGGUAGGGGGCCUGAGAGGGUGGUCCCCCACACUGGUACUGAGACACGGACCAGACUCAUACGGGAGGCAGCAGUGAGGAAUAUUGGUCAAUGGGCGCAAGCUUGAACCAGCCAUGCCGCGUGCAGGAAGAAUGCCCUAUGUGUUGUAAACUGCUUUUAUUUGGGAAUAAACCUCUUUACGUGUAGAGAGCUGAAGGUACCAAAUGAAUAAGCACCGGCUAACUCCGUGUCAGCAGCCGCAGUAA
rnacentral:rRNA from 1 species